rnacentral:lncRNA from 1 species
AAAUAAAGGAAGGAGGUUUUUAGGACGUAUAAUAGACUUUUCUUAACCAAUAUUUGCUUCAUUGUUCAAUAUUUAGAACAGUUUGUUAAAUUUAAUAAUAAUUUUAAAAAGUUCACAGGUGAAAUCACCGAAACAUAAUCGAUCAAGAAUGUUUACACGGGUAAAGAAAUAUGCAUUUUUGGAUAGUAAAGGUAGUGUUGCAUCUCCCCCUCUGGUCUCUAGUACCUCUGGUUAUGCCAGAAAACCAGAGAUUAAAAGAUGUUCUAAGAAAUAUCACUGAUAUUUGCAAAUGGGCUGGAG